GAUACGAGACGGAGAGGCUCUCUAUCGUCUGGAAAGUUUUUCGGUCUGGGAUGGACUCGCGGCCUAUCAGCUAGUUGGUGAGGUAAUGGCUCACCAAGGCGACGACGGGUAGCCGGCCUGAGAGGGCGACCGGCCACACUGGGACUGAGACACGGCCCAGACUCCUACGGGAGGCAGCAGUGGGGAAUAUUGCACAAUGGGCGAAAGCCUGAUGCAGCGACGCCGCGUGAGGGAUGACGGCCUUCGGGUUGUAAACCUCUUUCAGCA
rnacentral:rRNA from 1 species